rnacentral:rRNA from 1 species
GCCUUAAAACUGUUAAGUUAAAAUACCUAAUAUAUUUAUAAAAAUCAAAGAAUUGAUAUAAAAACGUUAAAGAAGUACUGUAAUAAGAAACUUUAGUAAGAGCUAUAAAAAUAGUACUGUGAAGGAAGAUUGAAAUAACAUUAAAAAUUAAAAUGGAUAAAGAAAAAUUUAUUACUUGUACCUUUUGUAUGAUGGUUAAGCGAGAUUACACUGAGAAUCUUUUGUUUCCCGAAACUUAAUGAGCUAAUAUACUCUGUCUUAUAAGAGGCUAAAAGGCUACUGUUGCAAUAGUAGUUUUGGAGGGCAUAUUAGGUGUGAAAUGCUAAUCGCAUUGAGUUAUAGCUGGUUCUUCAAGAAAUUAAUUUAAGUUAAUAGCGAAAUUAUAAGAUAAAAAGUUCCUUCAGGAAAACAAGACUUUUUUAUAAAAAUUCGCUUUAAGACAAGUAAGGAUAAGCUUAUUUGUCAAGUAGGAAAAAGCCUUAAUAAAUAAUUAAAAACAUUGAGUAUAGAAAUAUUUAAAAAAGGAUAAGUAGGAUUAAUGGCAUCCAACUAAAAUAAAAGCGUUAAAGCUUUUCUUUUAUUAGUAAAAUAUAAAAUAUUGAUUAUCAAGUUUGAAGUUUUUAUUAAAAUUAUUGAAGACUUUUAUAAAAGUUUAUAAGAUAAAAUGCUUAAAUUAGUAAAGUCAUUCAAUUAGUUGAAAAUUAAUCAUACCUAACUUCGGAAGGGUAGAAAGUGAAAAUAAUCAGGAAUCACACUUCUAUGAAAUGUCUUCCAACUCAGGUAAUUGAAAAAUAAUUUAAUCAAAUGAGGAAAAGGAACUCGGCAAAUAUUGACUUCGCCUGUUUACCAAAAACAUCGCCCCUUGCAAAAAAAUUGAUGAAUAAGGGGUCCUGCCUGCCCAGUGACUUAGUUAAACGGCCGCGGUAUCUUGACCGUGCAAAGGUAGCAUAAUCAUUUGCCUCUUAAAUAGAGGCUGGUAUGAAUGGCAAGACUGGAGUUAAGCUGUCUCUUUCUCAUUACUUGAAUUUAAUAUUUUUGUGAAGAAGCAGAAAUAAAUUCGUAGGACGAGAAGACCCUAUCGAGCUUUAGUGAAAUUAUUAGUGGUGUGUGAGUAUGAAGCAACUAAUAAAGUAAGUUAUUUACAAGAAGAAUUUAAUGCUUUUUAUUUAACUAUGUAAUAAAAUAAUUUUGAUUGGGGCAAUCGCGGAGUAUAAAAAUCCUCCGCUUCAAAUGUUAAAAAUUACUAUUUUUAAAUGAAGUGAUCCGCUGUAUAGCGAGCAAAGGAAUAAGUUACCGUAGGGAUAACAGCGUAAUUUUUUUGGAGAGUUCAUAUUGAUAAAAAAGUUUGCGACCUCGAUGUUGGAUCGAGAUUUCCUAGAGAUGCAGCAGUUUCUAAGGGUUGGUCUGUUCGACCAUUAAAAUCUUACGUGAUCUGAGUUCAGACCGGCGUAAGCCAGGUCAGUUUCUAUCCACGAAAGUUAUACUUUUCUUAGUACGAAAGGACCAGAAAAGUAGUGCCAAUUUUUAAAAAAAAGCACUAAAAAAAACUUUUGAAAAAAAAAUGAAAAUUUUGAGAAAAAAUUUUAAGAAAUGUUAUUUUUG